AACGAACGCUGGCGGCAUGCCUAACACAUGCAAGUCGAACGAGACCUUCGGGUCUAGUGGCGCACGGGUGCGUAACGCGUGGGAACCUGCCCUUAGGUUCGGAAUACCUCCCCGAAAGGGGUGCUAAUACCGGAUAAUGUCUUCGGACCAAAGAUUUAUCGCCUUUGGAUGGGCCCGCGUUGGAUUAGCUAGUUGGUAGGGUAAAAGCCUACCAAGGCGACGAUCCAUAGCUGGUCUGAGAGGAUGAUCAGCCACACUGGGAAUGAGACACGGCCCAGACUCCUACGGGAGGCAGCAGUGGGGAAUAUUGGAGAAGGGGCGAAAGCCUGAUACAGCAAUGCCGGGUGAGUGAUGAAGGCGUUAGGGUUGUAAAGCUGUUUUACCCGGGAUGAUAAUGACAGUACCGGGAGAAUAAGCACCGGCUAACUCCGUG
rnacentral:rRNA from 1 species